AUGGAUAUGAGGACUAUUUCCCCAGAUGAUCGAAGUUGAUAUAACUGUGCUACUAAAAUCUCUCCUUUUAUGGAGAGAUUCAAGCCAAUAUUCUGAUCCUU
rnacentral:snoRNA from 1 species